AACGAACGCUGGCGGCAGGCCUAACACAUGCAAGUCGAGCGAGGACUUCGGUCCUAGCGGCGGACGGGUGAGUAACGCGUGGGAACGUGCCCUUUGCUUCGGAAUAGCCCUGGGAAACUGGGAGUAAUACCGGAUGAGCCCUUUGGGGGAAAGAUUUAUCGGCGAAGGAUCGGCCCGCGUUGGAUUAGGUAGUUGGUGGGGUAAUGGCCUACCAAGCCGACGAUCCAUAGCUGGUUUGAGAGGAUGAUCAGCCACACUGGGACUGGGACACGGCCCAGACUCCUACGGGAGGCAGCAGUGGGGAAUCUUAGACAGUGGGGGAAACCCUGAUCGAGCCAGGCCGCGUGAGCGAUGAAGGCCGUAGGGUUGUAAAGCUCUUUCAGCUGGGAAGAUAAUGACGGUACCAGCAGAAGAAGCCCCGGCUAACUCCGUG
rnacentral:rRNA from 1 species